rnacentral:rRNA from 1 species
GACGAACGCUGGCGGCGUGCCUAAUACAUGCAAGUCGAACGAGAGCGUCCGGUGCUUGCGCUGGUCAAUCUAGUGGCGAACGGGUGAGUAACACGUGGGUAACCUGCCCAUCAGAGGGGGAUAACAUCCGGAAACGGAUGCUAAAACCGCAUAGGUCUUCGCACCGCAUGGUUCGCAGGGGAAAAGAGGCGCAUGCUACUGUAGAAGCAUGGCACCGCGGUGUAUUAGCUCGGUGGUGAGGUAAUGGUCCACCAAGGCCGGGAUGCAUAGCCGCCCUGAGAGGGUGAGCGGCAACACUGGGACUGGGACACGGCCCGAACCCCUGCGGGAGGGAGCAGGAGGGAAUCUUCCGGAAUGGACGCAAGGCUGACGGAGCAACGCCGCGUGAGUGAAGGAGGUAUUCGGGUCGUAAAACUCUGUUGUUAGUGAAGAACAAGUGGUAGAGUAACUGUUGACGACUUGACGGUAACUAAGCAGAAAGCCACGGCUAACUACGUG